rnacentral:rRNA from 1 species
GACGAACGCUGGCGGCGUGCUUAACACAUGCAAGUCGAACGAAGUGGCGCACGGGUGAGUAACGCGUAAUCAACCUGCCCUUCAGAGGGGGACAACAGUUGGAAACGACUGCUAAUACCGCAUACUGAAGGAGGGGAUUGCGUUGGAUUAGCUAGUUGGAGGGGUACCGGCCCACCAAGGCGACGAUCAGUAGCUGGUCUGAGAGGACGAUCAGCCACACUGGGACUGAGACACGGCCCAGACUCCUACGGGAGGCAGCAGUGGGGAAUUUUGGACAAUGGGGGCAACCCUGAUCCAGCAAUGCCGCGUGUGUGAAGAAGGCCUUCGGGUUGUAAAGCACUUUUGUCCGGGAAGCGGUACCGGAAGAAUAAGGACCGGCUAACUACGUGCCAGCCGCCGCGGUAAUUC